rnacentral:snoRNA from 1 species
AACCCAUGUUGAGGGCACAUCUAGAGCAUGUUUUUGAAUCAGUUCCAAGCUUCGUCAAAUGAUUCGAUUUCUUCUUGACUGAAUACUGAUAUGUCAUGUCUUAGCUU